AUUGAACGCUGGCGGCAUGCCUUACACAUGCAAGUCGAGCGCGAAAGGGGGCAACCCCGAGUAGAGCGGCGGACGGGUGAGUAACGCAUCGGAACGUGCCCAGUAGUGGGGGACAACCUCGAGAAAUCGAGGCUAAUACCGCAUACGACCCACGGGUGAAAGCGGGGGACCGCAAGGCCUCGCGCUAUUGGAGCGGCCGAUGUCCGAUUAGCUAGUUGGCGGGGUAAGAGCCCACCAAGGCGACGAUCGGUAGCUGGUCUGAGAGGACGACCAGCCACACUGGGACUGAGACACGGCCCAGACUCCUACGGGAGGCAGCAGUGGGGAAUUUGGACAAUGGGGGCAACCCUGAUCCAGCCAUGCCGCGUGCGGGAAGAAGGCCUU
rnacentral:rRNA from 1 species